rnacentral:rRNA from 1 species
CACAGCCGCGGUAAUACGUAGGGUGCAAGCGUUAAUCGGAAUUACUGGGCGUAAAGCGUGCGCAGGCGGUUAUAUAAGACAGAUGUGAAAUCCCCGGGCUCAACCUGGGAACUGCAUUUGUGACUGUAUAGCUAGAGUACGGCAGAGGGGGAUGGAAUUCCGCGUGUAGCAGUGAAAUGCGUAGAUAUGCGGAGGAACACCGAUGGCGAAGGCAAUCCCCUGGGCCUGUACUGACGCUCAUGCACGAAAGCGUGGGGAGCAAACAGGAUUAGAUACCCCAGUAGUCCCUGUCUCUUAUACA